rnacentral:rRNA from 1 species
UACGGAGGAUGCGAGCGUUAUCCGGAUUUAUUGGGUUUAAAGGGUGCGUAGGCGGGCCUUUAAGUCAGCGGUAAAAAUUCGGGGCUCAACCCCGUCCGGCCGUUGAAACUGGGGGUCUUGAGUGGGCGAGAAGAAGGCGGAAUGCGUGGUGUAGCGGUGAAAUGCAUAGAUAUCACGCAGAACCCCGAUUGCGAAGGCAGCCUUCCGGCGCCCUACUGACGCUGAGGCACGAAAGUGCGGGGAUCGAACAGG